rnacentral:rRNA from 1 species
GGGGGGGGGGGGGGGGGGGGCGGGGGGGGGGGGGGCGGGGGGCGGCGCGGGUGCUGGCGCCGGGGGGCGGGUGGCGCAGGGGUGGGUGCGAGGUCGGAGCAGGUCCGGUAGGGGGGGAGAGCCGGGCGAGAGCCGGAGUAAUACCGCAUACGGUCUCCGGAGGAAGGCGGGGGACCUUCCGGCCUCGCCCUAUAGCGUUGCGCGGCGGCGGAUUUGCUCGUUGGCGGGGGAAAGGCCUACCAAGGCGCCGUUCCGUAGCUGGUCUGAGCGGACGACCAUACACACUGGGACUGAGACACGGCCCAGACUCCUACGGGAGGCAGCAGUGGGGAAUUUUGGACAAUGGGCGAAAGCCUGAUCCAGCAAUGCCGCGUGUGUGAAGAAGGCCUUCGGGUUGUAAAGCACUUUUGUCCGGAAAGAAAUCCUUGGCCCUAAUACGGUCGGGGGAUGACGGUACCGGAAGAAUAAGCACCGGCUAACUACGUG